rnacentral:rRNA from 1 species
AUACGUAGGCAGCGAGCGUUGUUCGGAGUUACUGGGCGUAAAGAGUGCGUAGGCGGUUGGCCAAGUUUGGUGUGAAAUCUCCCGGCUCAACUGGGAGGGUGCGCCGAAAACUGGCCGACUUCGAGUAUGGGAGAGGAAAGUGGAAUUCCUGGUGUAGCGGUGAAAUGCGUAGAUAUCAGGAGGAACACCUGUGGUGUAGACAGCUUUCUGGACCAAAACUGACGCUGAGGCACGAAAGCGUGGGAGCAAACAGGAUUAGAUACCCUGGUAGUCCACGCCCUAAACGAUGCAUGCUUGGUGUGAGCCGUUCAGUCGGUUCGUGCCGGAGCUAACGCGUUAAGCAUGCCGCCUGGGGAGUACGGUCGCAAGGCUGAA